UGAGCUCAUUAAAUAUGGUGAAUCUCAUUCAAUAGACAGAAAGAAGUGUGACCACUAAAUCCAUAAUCACAUGAUAUUAACACUAUAGUAACACCACUGAUAACAUGAUCAAAACAACAGGCACAUGGGCAUCCCACUAUUUUAACAUUUAAACAUGAAUCAACAUGUUUCACCCAGUGUGGAUAAAAAUAGUACCCAAAAACAAGUAUUACAUAAA